rnacentral:antisense_RNA from 1 species
GCCUAUGGCGGUUGUACGCGGGAGGCCUCGUGCCUGCCGGGUUUUGAUCUUUUUGUCCCGGUCGACCAACUCGCGUACAGCUGCCACCCAA